CAGCAGCCACGGGAACACGUAGGGGGCGAGCGUUGUCCGAAGUUACUGGGCGUAAAGCGCGCGUAGGCGGGUCUUUAAGUUUGGGGUGAAAGGUUCAGCGCUCAACGCGAACAGUGCCUUGAAUACUGGAGACCUUGAGUUCGGGAGGGGGUAGUGGAAUUCCUGGUGUAGCGGUGAAAUGCGUAGAUAUCAGGAGGAACACCGGUGGCGAAGGCGGCGACCUGGUCCUUGACUGACGCUGAGGCGCGAAAGCGUGGGGAGCAAACAGGAUUAGAGACCCCAGUAGUCCCUGUCUCUUAUA
rnacentral:rRNA from 1 species